AGCACCGNGCWAAYUCCGUGCNCAGCAGCCGCGGUANAUACGGAGGGKGCNAAGCGUUAANUSGGAAUUACUGGNGCGUAAAGCGCGCGNURGGCNGGCGUGUCACGCCNGGGUGUGAAAGCCCCGGGCUCAACCUGGGANACGGCAUCCGGAACGGGCAGGCUAGAGUGCAGGAGAGGAAGGUAGAAUUNCCCGGUGUAGCGGUGAAAUGCGUAGAGAUCGGGAGGAAUACCAGUGGCGAAGGCGGCCUUCUGGACUGACACUGACGCUGAGGUGCGAAAGCGUGGGUAGCAAACAGGAUUAGAUACCCUGGUAGUCCACGCCGUAAACGAUGUCGACUAGCCGUUGGGUCCCUUGAGGACUUAGUGGCGCAGUUAACGCGAUAAGUCGACCGCCUGGGGAGUACGGCCGCAAGGUUAAAACUCAAAUGAAUUGACGGGGGCCCGCACAAGCGGUGGAGCAUGUGGUUUAAUUCGAUGCAACGCGAAGAACCUUACCUACCCUUGACAUCCUGCGAACCCGGAAGAGAUUCCGGGGUGCCUUCGGGAGCGCAGAGACAGGUGCUGCAUGGCUGUCGUCAGCUCGUGUUGUGAAAUGUUGNGGUUAAGUNCCCGUAACGNAGCGCAACCCUUGUNCCCUAUUUGCCAGCGAUUCNGGUCGGGAACUCNUAGGGAGACUGCNCGGUGACAAACCGGARGAA
rnacentral:rRNA from 1 species